rnacentral:misc_RNA from 1 species
AUUGCUGCCAUGGUAACAGCGGCCAUUUUGUCCAUUUUAUUUGAGUACAUCGACAUAAUCAAACUAAAAGUUGUCAACAGAUUUUGGCCACGUGAAAAGGUUUUAAAAUCCAAGGAACACAAUUCUUCUUCCAUUGCCGUGAGAUUGACGACAACAGUAUUUUACACGUGUCGAGUUCUGAUAGUUUACAUCUUAAUGCUGUGUGUUAUGACAAUGAAUGUUUGGAUAUUAGUGACAGUACUUCUUGGGACUUCAGCAGGACAUUAUCUCAAAAGGAUCAUGAAAAGAAAGGAGUUUCCCAGAUCAGACAUGGAAGUCGGUAACAACUUUCCUGGCUACAAACCGCAGAGAGAAACGAUUACAAUAGUUAAACAUUGUGAGCCUUUCAUUAAUAACAAAAAUGGUACUGAGAAUGAAUCGCAUUUUGAGCUGAAGACAUUGCUGAAUAAAAAUGGCAAGGAUGACACUUGAUUGGCGUCCAAGAAUCUGAAAGGAGAAAAUCAAAUUCGAAGACUAGAAUGGGCAUUCUUAAUUCCGGCUUUCAUUUUGGCAAUUGAAAUAAGAAUUUCGAAAUGAAAUAUGACCCAGGUUGUGAUGCAGUCGAUUAAGAGCUGUGACAAAAGUACGCUGAAUUAUAUCAUACCACAUACAUUUACAGUGCUGCAUGGAUAUUGAAGAAUCAUUUCGGGUACUUUGCAUACCUGUAUAUGUUCCAAUGUGUUAGAGAAACUUUUGUAUCAAUGAACUUCUGAGGACAUCAAUACUAAUACUGUGGAAUCAUUAGAAUUCGUGGGUGCAAAUUUUCGUGGAUUGUUUAAAUUUUAUAGGUUUUUGGGGACGUAAUUUCGUGUAUUCUCUUAUACAUUAUAUCUUCAAAAGGAAAUAUGACUUAAUAACCCUUAUUUAUUAAUUCAUGGAGGAUGUUAAUUCGUGGAUGAGAGGUACACACGAAUUCCACGGAAAUUGAUCCACCACAAAAUUUAUUUGUUAUUUUGUGUUAUCUGUCCACUUUAUAUAUCCAUUCAUGUAAACACCCGUGACAUUUUUGAACUCAAUUUAUCCGAGGUUUAUAGUUUUCACUUUACGGGGGGAUUCUUUUCAUCUCUUAAAGUAACCGGUGGCUCGUAUUCAACAAGUUCACUAAACCAAAACAUUUUGAUAUAAAUACUCGACCAACCACAGUUUCAAUUUACAUGUUUGAAUAAUGUAACCAAUUCAUCCAGUGUUUAUUAUGGAGCCAGGGGGGCAUAACUUUCAAACGUCGAGGUAAAGUUUAUUUAUAAAAUGUUAAUAAUCCAGGUUAUCGGGUCAAUGUGUUCGAUGAAUUUGCAUUAAGAAAAAGAUUUUCAAUGUAGAGUAAAUGUUUCUUCAAGACAGGUAUAUCAUACUUCUGAGAAAAUUAAAACGAAAUAUACUUUC